ensembl:lncRNA
GUGGGAUUUGCAGAUUGCUUAGAUGGAGAGAUAAGGGAAAAGACAACAGUUAAAGCUGACUAGGGUCAUGGGACUUUUGAGGCUUCUAGAUAUGAUGGAGUCUAGUGUUCUGCCUUCUGGAGGGGCUGACCCUGUAUUAUCCCAGCAUAUCUAGGUCUGAGAAAAAUAACCUACAAGCCUGCCAAAAAUGCAUAGGCAGCGUUAAUUUUUACAAAGUGUAAGUGUGUGGUCAUUUUCUGUGACUUUUCUUGUUUCUUUUUUUAGAGACAGGGUCUUACUCUGUUGCUCAGGCUGUAGUGCAAUGGUGCAAUCAUAGCUUACUGCAGCCUCAAACUCUUGGGCUUAAGUGAUCCUUCCCCCUCAACUUCUUGAGUAGCUAGGACUACGGGUGUGUAUCACCACUCUCAGCUAUUUUUUUUUUGUAGAGACAAGGUCUCAUUAUGUUGCCCAGGCUGGUCUCAAACUCCUGGGCUCAAGCUAUCCUGCCUCAGCCUCCUGAAUUGUUGGAAUUACAGGCAUGAGCCACUGCACCUCGCCAUUUGCUGUUGCUUUUAAUAGUAGGUGCCAAUGAACUAACUUUGAAUUUAAUAAAACGUAAACAUUUGGGAAAAUUCUUCUAAUCCCUGUAGGGGAUUACUUUGGUUGAGCCCUAGAUGUGAGUUACUACUUCAGAUCUGUUUGACUGUCUUGAUUUGUAAAGGCUAAUAGGAGAGUUUCUUAUUCUUUGACAUGGGAACAAAGCUCAGUAUCUUGUUUUACUUGAAAACAAAUCCAAGAAACUGUUUCCUCAGGGCUGGUAUGUAUGAGGAUGACGUCUAGUCUUGGAUAUGCAGCCUGCAGAAUCAAGCAAUGCAGCUCCGUGUCCCAGUGCUGAACGGUUUCUGUGGCCUUUUGACAGUUGUUAUGGGCAAUCAUCAAGCCACUUACCUUCCUUAGCAUACAAAAAAUAAAGCAAGUUUCCCAUAGUUGCCAUAUCAACACAAGGCCAGAUUCUGGAGGGCCUCAGGGGCAACGAUAUGCAGAACUGAGAAAAUUCAGAAAAACUUAAGAAUAAUUAUUCCAGUCCCACCCAACAUGUUAACAAUAAUAAACAUUGGUAACAGUUUGGUCUGUACUUUUCUAAUCUUUUUUCCCUAUGCAUUUAUGAUAUGCAAUAAAUGCUUUUAUUUUUAUACAAAAUCAGAAUUGUAAUUUGCAUAGUAUUUUGUUACCUCUCUGUAGCUACAUUUUCCCAUGGUUGUUUAAAAAGGAAUAGAAGAAAGGAAAACAACUUGUGAAAAUCCUAAGUUGUAUUUGAACAAGCAAGCUGUGUUUCCUCAUUAACAACAUUUACUUCGCAUUUGAUGGUCCAUAACUGCCCAGUUACCUCAGGAUGCCUCCAUAUGAUGAAAAUAAAAACAGAGUUGAAAGAAGUCUCCAUAAACACAACGCACAUUGGCAAAUGUCAUAUUCUUGUUCCUUGAGGGAUUAGAGAACACUUUCAUCUCUUUGCCUUUGCCCCCAAAGUAAAAGCUAUAAGCUUUUAUAAUUAAAUAAUAAGACUGAAUAACCAUAAACAUAAAUAAUAUGUAGUAUUAUGAGAAAUACUGGGAAAAAGGACAUUUACUGUGUGACUUAAAUUGAUUAAAGGGUUAUUCGGUUCAACUCUCUUGAAUCUAAUUAGUAUUUUUGUGUCAUUUAUUAUUAUAGGGCACACGUAUUUUCUACAUUUGAUUUAACUUGGCUAAAGUUAAAUGAGCAAAUGUUUAUUGCUAUGUCCAUUGUUUUCCUUUCUCUGUCAUUGUUAAAAAGAGGAGCCAUGGCUUCUCCUGCUUCUUCUGUGUCUUCUUCUCCAUUAGACCUUCUUCAUCCACCCUCUCCCCAUCCCUUUCAGCUCUAAAGGGUCUAUAAAUGAAAGUGGGUACAAGCUGAUUCAAUAGGACUUGUAUCUUACUAAAUAAUGUUUUAUUGUCUUUGUUCUAUGUAUUUGCAGAGAAAUUGUAUCUUUAAAACCAAUUAACAAAGCGCUGUGGUUCUUUCAAUCAAGACCUUUGUAAACAUCUCUACUGGCCCAUACUCCCCCAAAUUUCUUGUACAUAGUAGGAGAUUACAUUAAAUAAAGCACAUUAUAAGGUGCAGUGAGCUUUAUUCUAAAAAUAUUGUCUGGAUGUGAAAGUAAAUUCUUGUUCAUAAAGUGUUAUUAGAUUAAAAUUAUGGAGUAAGCAUUUGGCAAACUGAUUGACUCUUCUUUGGAAAGACCAGGCUUUUUAGGACACAUUUCUGUUCAUGCUUAAGGUCAGAAGUCAGUCAAAGGCAACCAGAAAAAAAAAAAAAAAAA